AUGUCCGCCAUCGCCCACCGCCGCCGCCGCCCCGCGCCGCCCCCGCCCGCCUGGACCCCCGAGCCCUGGAGCGACGGCGAGACGGCCGCGCUGCUCGAGGCCUGGGGCCCGCGCCACCUCCGCGCCGGCGGCGGCCCCCUCCGCACCUCCGACUGGCGCGCCUGCGCCGCGGCCGUCACCGCCCGCCGCGCCGCUGACGGCCGCGCGCCGCGCACCGUCGACCAGUGCAAGAACCGCAUGGACUACCUCAAGAAGCGCCUCAGGGCCGACCGCUCCAGGCCCUCGUCGCCGCCGCCGCUCUCCGGCUCCCUCCGCCGCCUCGCCAAGCUCCUCCGCCAGGCCCCCUCGGUCCCGCACCGCCUCGCGCCCAAGGUCGAGCGGGAGGACCGCCAGGAGGACGAGGAGGAGACCGGCGGGUCUCCCCUCUACCGCGACUGGCCGCCGGUGCCCAAGCGGCGGAGGACGGCCGUCUCGUUGUCGCCGCUGAGCUCCUCCGCGGAGCAUCACCACGGGAAUGGAGGGGCGGCCUGCACGGAGGUUGCAGUUGCUCUGGAUAGGCUGGCGGGGACGUACGAGCGGGUUGAGGCGGCCAAUCAGAUGGAGGCGACACGGCUGGAGGACCGCCGCCUGGAGGCCAUGCGGGACCUAGAGAUCGAGCGCAUGCGGGUUCUCGCCGACGUCGCCAUCUCCACCUCGGACGAUACACAAACCCCAGCCACCUCCGCCGCCAUCUCCACCUCCGCCGAUACACACACCUCAGUCGCCGCCGCAGCCGGCGGCGGCCUAGUCGAGGAACUAGUACAAUAG
rnacentral:rRNA from 1 species